GAUGAACGCUGGCGGCGCGCCUAACACAUGCAAGUCGAACGGCACCCCUCUCCGGAGGGAAGCGAGUGGCGAACGGCUGAGUAACACGUGGAGAACCUGCCCCCUCCCCCGGGAUAGCCGCCCGAAAGGACGGGUAAUACCGGAUACCCCCGGGCGCCGCAUGGCGCCCGGGCUAAAGCCCCGACGGGAGGGGAUGGCUCCGCGGCCCAUCAGGUAGACGGCGGGGUGACGGCCCACCGUGCCGACAACGGGUAGCCGGGUUGAGAGACCGACCGGCCAGAUUGGGACUGAGACACGGCCCAGACUCCUACGGGAGGCAGCAGUGGGGAAUCUUGCGCAAUGGGGGGAACCCUGACGCAGCGACGCCGCGUGCGGGACGGAGGCCUUCGGGUCGUAAACCGCUUUCAGCAGGGAAGAGUCAAGACUGUACCUGCA
rnacentral:rRNA from 1 species